UCUAAGGAGCGCCCUCGCGCCGUUGUCAGGGGAGGGUUCAUUCCCCUCCAACCGCCCGCGCGCUCAUGCUUUUCCUCCGCUCCGUUUCCAUGGCUCCCAUUUCCUACUUUCUUCUCAUCUCCUCCGUCCUCAGCCUGUUCUGUAAGGCCAUUCUAAAGUUCCACAGUAUCCAGAUGAAACAACAGAGAAAGCAUAAACUUUGGAGUCCAAAGAUAAGGAUUUUAGUGUCAGCACACCACAUCUUGGCUAUGUAAUCUCAAAGCAGACCCUGGGAUGUUCCAGAGCAAACUCUCUUCACUAAGGCUGUAAGAAGGGCAUUUGUGAGGAUGACUUUUGGAGAUCCAUGCUGGCUUUCUGUGAACCAAAAAGGACAAGGAGCACUGCUGCCAUCUCAAUAGAAUCCACAUUUAACUCUGUGGUGAAGGGCACUGGCUUCUCCUGCAGGAUGCCCCAUCAUGAAAGUUGGGAUCAGAGUUUGAGGUAGUGAGAGUCUGACUGUGUUGCAGUCCCUCCUCAGGGGUUCCAGCUCACAGAUUUCACUUUUUGCUUGCUUCUCCCACUUUACCUCCAUCCUUCCUUCCUUCCUGUCUGCCCUGAGGAUUUUAGGUUCCAGGAGCAGACACAAAAACACCAGCCUCACAUAAUCUGGUUAACCAGUUCCACAAUUGCAUAAAAUCAAACCACUAUUAUAAAUUCCUUGUUAUUUACAUUUCCUAGUGUUUACUCAGUACUCUGAGUACUGACUGGAAUAUAAUCUAAGGACAAAACAAAGUAUAAAUUAAUCUUUAACUUCA